UGCGGCGUUGUAAAGGUGUUCUGUGGUUGUAAUUAGUACGGCAGCUGUUGUGUUGUACAGUGAGCAUACUACCUGGAAAAGUAAGCAAGGCUGGAUAGGUCAUAGAGUUACUAUACUGACUCUAGAGGACAAGCUACCCAUAGGGCCCAUGCAUUGAAAUCGGGAACCGCAAGAGCGCCGCCAUGUUGCUACGCGCCGAGGUUGCCAGCUCCUGAGACGCUUGCUAGACUUGGUGACAGUAGUCAGUUUUAAUCCGGCAACCGUAGCAGCGUAGCAGCAUGGCGCCUCGCUAGUAGUGUCGUGAUGUGUGCGUGCAGCCGUGUGUUUGGGCUUUAUAAGUUGGUUCUUUAUUCUAUGUUGCGGGACGGUGUGGGUGUGGUCCAUGUUGGCCGUACAGGUGGCAGUUAUGCAACCGAGGGAUGAUCCUGUUGAAGUUUCCGGCGGUAUGCGGUUUUCAGCGGUCAUGCCUGUUGCAGGAGUGUCACGUACUCGACGAGGUUACGAGCUCGAAGCUGUGGUCAGAUUCUUCGUUGGCGUUCCGUAAUUCUCUUCGCACGGGCGCGGGAUCUGAUGUGCAUAUCUGCAGUUUAUGGAUACAUGUAAAAGACUCAGCAUCAAGUGCAAGUGAACGGGCCUACAGGGCCGAAGUCGAUCAUGCAAAUAGAUUCGCUGCACAAAUUUGUGACCAAAAAAGAUAUUCCACAUGAAAUGGCAUGCAAGGAAGUGUUGAAAAUAUUGCACAGUUAAUAAAACGCCUACGCUAUUAA